ensembl:lncRNA
GAAUAAUUUAAAUUAAUAGUACCAUUAAAGCAUUUGCCCAUGAAGAUAAAUUUACCUGUGAUAACUGGCACUGUUCCCGGACACUGAUGGCGAAUGCCGCUGCGGAUCUAGCUAUAUCAGGUCUGGUUCUGGACAACGACACUGGAGCGUCUUCCUUUAUAAAAUGAGUUGUAAUUUUUUAAGAGCGAGUAGAUGGACACAGUCAAAGUUGCAAUUGAUUUGAAAGGAAAUGGACAUUUUUGAGGAGAUGCCCGAGAGGGGAAAGACUUCAUUUUAAUCCCGUAUUCGCUUCACUGGUCUGGAACCUGAGCAGCUCUAUCGUCUAAGGUAAGAGGAAUUAAAUGUUUUUUUUAAUGUUUAAUCUUAGCAUUCAAUGGAGAUAAUACCUAUGAAAGAGAAAGUGUGCAUAGGCUACUCAAAUCAUGCAUGAUUAACGCGCACACUCGCAGUGUGGAUUCAAUGAGGCCCAUAUUUAAAUAUAUCGUUAUAUGUAGGACAAAAAUAUUAAAUUACAUAACAAGUCAGCAUCACACAGAGAGCAACCUAAUUGGCACGAUAAGAUUGAAAAUAAAUUGAAUUGUGGAAACUUACGGACUCAAGGCGGCCGUCAGCUUCAGGCUGUGGUGACGGUUCAGGUAAAGAGGCAUCAGGUGGGACAGCCGUAGUGCUGGCCGCUGCAGGAGUGCUACAGCUGGAAAACACCGAAACACCAAAUGUUUCCUGUCCCAAAGACCGAGAAGAAGGCGUCGUACUCCAUCCGCUUGGUGGGCAUCCAGUCCUCAAAUACUGAAGUUCAUGUCCUCCAACGGUCCCACCUCAAUGACGUCAGUGUUCGCGGUUCACCGCUUGAGUAACUGAAAGAUUUGGGUGCGUUACAUUUGACGAAGAAGUGCAAGAAGAGCGGCUCAAUGUCAGUAAACUUUAUUGAAUUAGUAAAUAUUACUAUGUCGGUAUAUGCUUAGCAAGCUAGCUAAUUGUUAGCUAAUGUGCACUUUUACACGCUAGCCGUUAGCUAACGAACUCUGUUUGCCUAUGGGUUUUCCCGGGUAGUUCUACGGUACCGCCUGUUAAUGCUUCAGGGAGCUGAUGAAUCUAAGAUGGAUACUUUUGACGAUGCCACUCUAUCGGUGUUGGAGGCUGCCAGUGUUGAUGAGGAGGCUUUGAAAGGCCUUAGCCGGGAUGACCUGAGGGAUCUUUUUCCUGGCCCAGAGAAUUUCCUCAAAAGAAAGAAACUUUGGAAUUUCAUCAGUGAAAAUUGUGAAAAUACCACGGACCAAGAUGCCAACAAUUGUGCCAUGCCACCAUGCCAGCCUCAAACCUCAACCCCCAUAUCUGUUGAGAAAAAAAUGAAAAUGCCAGACCCUCCAGAGUAUGUGGUGUACACAGAUUCAGAGUUAGACAUGGUGCGUAGUCAAUACUUUGCACUGCUCUGCAAUGGAAAGGAAAAAAAUUACAAACUGUCCAAGGAGCUAUGUUGCAGACUUGUAAGGAACACAAUAACCAGUAUGGUUGCUAUCCUGCGUGCUAGUCCCAUGGGGAAAGAAGUCAGUUACCCGUCAAAAUUGGAAAUAAGAGCCAUGUCACAGAAGAUUAUAGACUAUUACCCAAUGUUACGGGAUGAUGAUCCAAACAUGCCUUAUCUGACUAUCUACACCAAAAUGUACAAGCGACUCCAAAAUAUGAGAUCCCCACGGAAGAGGCAAGGCUCUGUACCACAAAGAGGAGUGGCAAAGACAGCUCUCUUCAGUGCAGACAACCAAGACAUGGAGACGGAUUGGACAGACACAAGCAACUCAAGUGAUAAUACCUUACUUCUUGAGAGCAAUGAUGACCUUACCGAGGACAACUCCAGUGAAG